GGGCCCGCACAAGCGGUGGAGCAUGUGGUUUAAUUCGAUGCAACGCGAAAAACCUUACCUACUCUUGACAUACUUGGAAGCUCUUGUAAUGAGAGUGUGCCUUUUGGAACCAAGAUACAGGUGCUGCAUGGCUGUCGUCAGCUCGUGUCGUGAGAUGUUCCGUUAAGUCGGAUAACGAGCGCAACCCUUACCCUUAUUUGCCAGCGAUUCGGUCGGGAACUAUAAGGGGACUGCCGGUGAUAAACCGGAGGAAGGUGAGGACGACGUCAAGUCAUCAUGGCCCUUACGAGUAGGGCUACACACGUGCUACAAUGGGGAAUACAGACGGACGCUAAGCCGCGAGGUGGUGCUAAUCCUAGAAAGUUUCUCGUAGUCCGGAUUGGAGUCUGCAACUCGACUCUAUGAAGCUGGAAUC
rnacentral:rRNA from 1 species